rnacentral:rRNA from 1 species
UACGGAGGGAGCUAGCGUUGUUCGGAAUUACUGGGCGUAAGGCGCGUGUAGGCGGCCUUGCAAGUUAGAGGUGAAAGCCCGGAGCUCAACUCCGGAACUGCCUUUAAAACUGCAUAGCUUGAAUCCGGGAGAGGUGAGUGGAAUUCCGAGUGUAGAGGUGAAAUUCGUAGAUAUUCGGAAGAACACCAGUGGCGAAGGCGGCUCACUGGACCGGUAUUGACGCUGAGGUGCGAAAGCGUGGGGAGCAAACAGG